rnacentral:rRNA from 1 species
UUACUGCUAUCGAGGUUCGACUAAGCCAUGCGAGUCGAAUGUAGCAAUACAUGGCGAACUGCUCAGUAACACGUGGACAACCUGCCCUUAGGUUGGGUAUAAACCCGGGAAACUGGGUAUAAUACCCGAUAGGUCUCGAUUGCUGGAAUGCAUCGAGAUUUAAAGCUCCGGCGCCUAAGGAUGGGUCUGCGGCCUAUCAGGUAGUAGUGGGUGUAGCGUACCUACUAGCCUACGACGGGUACGGGUUGUGAGAGCAAGAGCCCGGAGAUGGAUUCUGAGACACGAAUCCAGGCCCUACGGGGUGCAGCAGGCGCGAAAACUUUACAAUGCUGGCAACAGCGAUAAGGGAACCUCGAGUGCCAGGUUACAAAUCUGGCUGUCGAGAUGCCUAAAAAGCAUUUCAUAGCAAGGGCCGGGCAAGACCGGUGCCAGCCGCCGCGGUAACACCGGCGGCUCGAGUGGUAACCGUUAUUAUUGGGUCUAAAGGGUCUGUAGCCGGCCGGAUAAGUCUCUUGAGAAAUCUGGCAGCUUAACUGUCAGGCUUUCAGGAGAUACUGUCUGGCUCGAGGCCGGGAGAGGUGAGAGGUACUUCAGGGGUAGGGGUGAAAUCUUGUAAUCCUUGAAGGACCACCAGUGGCGAAGGCGUCUCACCAGAACGGACCUGACGGCAAGGGACGAAAGCUAGGGGCACGAACCGGAUUAGAUACCCGGGUAGUCCUAGCCGUAAACGAUACUCGCUAGGUGUCGGCCACGGUGCGACCGUUGUCGGUGC